rnacentral:hammerhead_ribozyme from 1 species
AUCCGGCUGACGAGUCCAAAAUAGGACGAAACGUGCGUCCUGGAU